UACACCCACCUAACCUUCGUCUAAUCUACCCAACUCUGCCCAGCUCUACCUAAUACAACCUAGUUUCGCCUAGUCGUUUGCCUAAAAUGCUUUCCGAUUUUAGGACCGAUUACAAGUUAAGUUAAUCGCGGUGGUAACUGACUGUUUUGCGCCUAGACGCAUCCUAAGCGGCUGCUUAGGUUGAUUUUUAGAACAAUGGUCCACACUUUUCCUGUGUUUUCUUCUUUUCUUUUUUCCUUUUUGUUGUCUGCAAUAAGCCCACCCCAUUUUUUGUCCUUAUCUACACCCUUCUUGCCAUUAUUUUCACCAUUUAGAUCCCAAAUUCCAUAUCUUCCUGAUAGACGCAUAUUUAUGCGACUUAGUUAACUAGUU
rnacentral:lncRNA from 1 species